AAACGUCAAAACGUAAACUUUCGGGUCAAAGUACAAAUACACAAAAGUAUCAAAACUUUAUGUAAUUGCAUAAAAGCCCCAAAAUUACCCUAUUUUAUUAGGGUGGCCGGUUUUUAGGGAUAAAAUGGAGUGGUGGGUGUUUUGAUUUAUUAGUUUUGUCAAAAACAAUCAAGUAGUGCUUUCACCUUUCAUAAAAAUAAUAUAUGUUUUGAUGAUUGAUGUUUCCAUCAUCAUUUAUACAAAAUAUUUAACACUUUAAAUACUUUCAUAAAAUUAAUAUAUGUUUUGAUGAUUGAUGUUUCCAUCAU
rnacentral:lncRNA from 1 species